UUUGUCCCAAUUAGGUCACACAAACUUUCGGGAAGGGCCAUAUUAUUGUCACAUGUUUGUAUCACCUGUAGCAUUCUCCAACAAAGGACAUCCAUGCAUCGUCACCAUUUAUUUAUACAGAUGAAACAAAUUACAUAUUAUUUCACUUUUAUAUUAUGUUACAGGUACACAUACUACACAAUAUUUCUUAUUUUUUAUCAGUACAAGAAGCAAAAUAGAAAAGAAGUAUUCCAAGCAGCUUCUUCAUGUCCACGCAUCCUUUAUGCUCACACCAUCAUCUUAUACACCUGCAAAAUAGUGGAAUAUCAUCACAUCAUUCCUUCAAUACAUAGUAUUCUACUCUUCUAG